rnacentral:lncRNA from 1 species
UUAAAUCUUUUAUUGCAACAAUUCUCAUUGCAAUUAUCUGUAAAAAUAGUAACUUCUUCAUUAUCACUAUCUGCUUCAUUGUUACUAAUACUGCUAUUAGAGGAAUAAAGAAUGUCAAAAUCCUCACCAUUACUGAUGAUGUUCUCAAUCCUCAUUAGUUCUAACAGUUGUUCAGUAUCUUCACUUGAAACAUUUAACUGAUAUAAUUUUUGUUUUAUUUUGCACUCAUUUUUAUAGUGCCCUUUUUGCCCACAAUUGUGGCAAAC